AUUGAACGCUGGCGGCAUGCUUUACACAUGCAAGUCGAACGGUAACAGGCCGCAAGGUGCUGACGAGUGGCGAACGGGUGAGUAAUGCAUCGGAACGUGCCCAGUCGUGGGGGAUGACGCAGCGAAAGCUGCGCUAAUACCGCAUACGAUCUACGGAUGAAAGCAGGGGAUCGCAAGACCUUGCGCGAAUGGAGCGGCCG
rnacentral:rRNA from 1 species